AUGUGUAUCACCAAACUCAGCCCUCUUUGUAGUAUAUUUUUUUUGGUACCUGGGGUUGAACUCAGGACCUCGCACUUGCCAGGCAGGCACUGUGGCACUGAGCUACAUCCCUGGCUAUGCAGUUUUGUUUUGUUUUUGAGACUGGGUCUCACUGUGUAGUUCAGGCUGACCUUGAACUCAGUAUGGAGCCCAGGAUGGCCUCAAACUUGCAACAAUCCUCCUGCCUCAGGCUCAUCCUCUUAAGCGCUGGGAUUACAGGCGUGUGCCACCAUGCCCCACCUACCUUUGUGGUUUUAAUGGAGCAUUUCCUCAGCUGUGUGCUGUCUUUUAAUGAGCCAAUCAAAGGCAAUCUUCAUGUUACAAUGUUUUCAAUCUAGAGAUUUCUUUUUAUUUCUUGGAGUUUCUCACUCUAGAUUGUCCAUCUGUCACUACUUGCUGUCUAUUUUCGCCUGCAGCAUAUUAAUAAUUAUCGUUUUGACCUCCCUUCCUGAUAAUUCCAACAUCCUUGUCAUCAAUGGGUCUGGUUCGGGUGCUUGCUCUGUUUCUUCACACUGUGUUCUUUGCCUUUAGUAUGUCUUCUCGUGUUUUCUUGCUCGCCAGGCAUGAGGCACCAGCACACACAGACCUGCCGUACAGACCUCAGCAAUGCUUUUGUCAGGUGUUAGGGAGGGAGGCAACCUGCAGGCGAUGAUGACUUCCCCAGUCUGGCAGUGGCCUUGUGCCUUCGGGCUGUGAGCCCCACACUCCCAGCCUGGGGGUACAGGAUGAGGUCAGUGGGCUGGAGAUGGGUCUCCUCCUUGCCCUGUGGAAGGCUGGGAGGGGCUGGACCCAAGUAUUUUAUUUCCUCCACGUGGAAAGCUAGAACAAGCAGGGUUGGGUAUUUUCCUUUCCCUAGGUCAACUGGGCUCUGAUAAAACUCCAGCUGGUUCAGUUUUAGUUAAAUAAUGUCUCCCGAGGGCAGAACUUGUUAAGAAGAAUGGAAUGCCCGAGUGUAUUUCAAGAUGGUUCCUUUCCCCAUCUCUCUGCCAGAAGCACAAUAGGGUUUUUCUCUAGUAGUCAUCGUGAGAACCUACAAGAACUCCAGGAGGUAAAACUCACAAAGUGCGGAGCCCCUGUGACUGGGCUCCCCUUGAACUUUAAUUUCACAGUUUGCCCACCCCGAGCCUGCAGUGUCUUGUCCAUUGCAGUUUCCUUACUCUGCCAGCGGAGAAAGAAAGAGAAGAUCCAAAGCAUGAAUAGUGGAAACCCUUCAGGCAAUGUACUCGUCUGGACAAAGGAUUCCCACACAGGAUGCUCACAGACUUCUGCACUUCAGCCUCUGUGUCUUCCUUCAUACACUGUCUGA
rnacentral:lncRNA from 1 species